UACGGAGGGGGCUAGCGUUGUUCGGAAUUACUGGGCGUAAAGCGCACGUAGGCGGCUUUGUAAGUUAGAGGUGAAAGCCCGGAGCUCAACUCCGGAAUUGCCUUUAAGACUGCAUCGCUUGAAUCAUGGAGAGGUGAGUGGAAUUCCGAGUGUAGAGGUGAAAUUCGUAGAUAUUCGGAAGAACACCAGUGGCGAAGGCGGCUCACUGGCCCGGUACUGACGCUGAGGUGCGAAAGCGUGGGGAGCAAACAGG
rnacentral:rRNA from 1 species